GGCCCGCACAAGCGGUGGAGGAUGUGGUUUAAUUCGAAGCAACGCGAAGAACCUUACCGAGACUUGACAUGGAAGUGACCGCACGAGAAAUCGUGUUUCUAGUUUACUAGCACUUCACACAGGUGCUGCAUGGCUGUCGUCAGCUCGUGUCGUGAGAUGUUGGGUUAAGUCCCGCAACGAGCGCAACCCUUAUCUUUAGUUGUCAUCAGGUUAAGCUGGACCCUCUAGAGAGACUGCCGUGAAUAACGCGGAGGAAGGUGAGGACGACGUCAAGUCAUCAUGGCCCUUACGUCUCGGGCUACACACGUCCUACAAUGGUCGGUACAACAGGUCGCGAAAUCGUGAGAUGGAGCUAAUCCCCAAAACCGGCCUCAGUUCAGAUUGCAGUCUGCAACUCGACUGCAUGAAGGUGGAAUCGCUAGUAAUCGCGGAUCAGCAUGCCACGGUG
rnacentral:rRNA from 1 species